rnacentral:rRNA from 1 species
AGCAGCCGCGGUAAUUCCAGAACUCCAAUAGCGUAUAUUAAAGUUGUUGCAGUUAAAAAGCUCGUAGUUGAAUUUCGGGGUUAGUAGGUUGGUCAUGCCUCUGGUAUGUACUGGUCUCACUGAUUCCUCCUUCCUGAUGAGCCGUAAUGCCAUUAAUUUGGUGUUGCGGGGAAUUUGGACUGUUACUUUGAAAAAUUAGAGUGUUUAAAGCAGGCUCACGCUUGAAUACAUUAGCAUGGAAUAAUGAAAUAGGACGUUUGAUUCUAUUUUGUUGGUUUCUAGGAUCGACGUAAUGAUUAAUAGGGAUAGUUGGGGGCAUUAGUAUUCAAUUGUCAGAGGUGAAA